CUUCGGAGAGCGAGUACAGUGGCGAACGGGUGAGUAACACGUUGAUGACCUGCCUUGAGGAGGGGGACAACCGUGGGAAACCACGGCUAAUACCCCAGAUGUUUAAGGGGUUAGAGGCCUUAAACUAAAGCUUCGGCGCCUUGAGAGGGGUCAGCGAGCUAUCUGCUAGUUGGUAAGGUAACGGCUUACCAAGGCUAAGACGGCUAGGGGGCGUGAGAGCGCGACCCCCCACAAUGGGACUGAGACACGGCCCAU
rnacentral:rRNA from 1 species